rnacentral:rRNA from 1 species
UCCUACGGGAGGCAGCAGUGGGGAAUAUUGCACAAUGGGGGAAACCCUGAUGCAGCGACGCCGCGUGAGUGAAGAAGUAUUUCGGUAUGUAAAGCUCUAUCAGCAGGGAAGAUAAUGACGGUACCUGACUAAGAAGCCCCGGCUAACUACGUGCCAGCAGCCGCGGUAAUACGUAGGGGGCAAGCGUUAUCCGGAUUUACUGGGUGUAAAGGGAGCGUAGGUGGCAGGGCAAGUCAGAAGUGAAAGCCCAGGGCUCAACUCUGGGACUGCUUUUGAAACUGCCGGGCUGGAGUGCAGGAGAGGUA